CCUACGGGUGGCAGCAGUGAGGAAUCUUGGUCAAUGGGCGCGAGCCUGAACCAGCCAAGUCGCGUGAAGGAUGACUGCCCUACGGGUUGUAAACUUCUUUUAUAAAGGAAUAAAGUGAGGCACGUGUGCCUUUUUGUAUGUACUUUCUGAAUAAGGAUCGGCUAACUCCGUGCCAUCAGCCGCGGUAAUACGGAGGAUCCGAGCGUUAACCGGAUUUCUUGGGUUUAAAGGGAGCGUAGAUGGGUUGUUAAGUCAGUUGUGAAAGUUUGCGGCUCAACCGUAAAAUUGCAAGUGAUACUGGCAGUCUUGAGUGCAGUUGAGGUAGGCGGAAUUCGUGGUGUAGCGGUGAAAUGCUUAGAUAUCACGAAGAACUCCGAUUGCGAAGGCAGCUUACUAAACUGCCACUGACAUUGAUGAUCGAAAGUGUGGGUAUCAAACAGGAUUAGAUACCCGAGUAGUC
rnacentral:rRNA from 1 species